AAAUGGCCUUUGCAAUGAAUCAUCCUGAGUUUAUGGUUGUUUUUCUAAUCCUUUCAAUUUACUGGGCUGGUACUGAGAGUCAAACACUGACUGAGUCUGAAUCAGUGGUUAAAAGGCCUGGAGACUCCCACAGACUGACCUGUACAUACUCAGGGUUCGGUGGUGAUUAUAAUAAUGCUUGGGUCAGACAGGCUGCUGGAAAGGGACUGGAGUGGAUCGCUUAUAUCAGCAGUGGCAGUGUUAGCAUCUACUACUCUCAGUCAUUCAGAGGCCGGUUUACCAUCUCCAGAGACAACAGCAGAAAGCAGGUGUAUCUGCAGAUGAACAGCCUGGCAACUGAGGAUUCAGCUGUUUAUUAUUGUGCUCGAGAGUCACAGUGACACAAGAGGAAGAAACUCUGUACAAAAACUCAGCAGUUUGCUUUCUGCCUUUCACAGUCACGUAA